UUUUAGGGAGACCUACCCCAUUAAAGACUGAGAAUUAAGCGUAUUAGGUUUUAAUGAGGUCAUCCCAGGUCGUUCGAGAUUGGUUGAGCCUUUCAAAGUAUUAUUCGGCUCUGUUCACAGGCAAACUGCAAAUAUUUGGCAAAGUCAAUUCAGCAACAGGACGAAGAGUCAGACUGCUGGGUGAGAGUCCAGUCAGAACCUUGAAAACUGCAUAAGUAACGCGAAAGCAGGCAGACACAGACAUUGAAGAGAUGAUUGUGAAUGCA
rnacentral:misc_RNA from 1 species